CACUGGACACACUCUUCAAGCUUCA
rnacentral:piRNA from 1 species